rnacentral:rRNA from 2 species
GGACUACUCGGGUAUCUAAUCCCGUUUGCUCCCCUGGCCUUCGUGCCUCAGCGUCAGCAACUGUCCAGAGACUCGCCUUCGCCACUGGUCUUCCUUACGAUCUCUACGCAUUUCACUGCUACACCGUAAAUUCCAGUCUCCUCUCCAGUGCUCGAGCAAAGCAGUAUCCAAUGCAGUUCCGGGGUUGAGCCCCGGGAUUUCACAUCGGACUUGCUCUGCCGCCUACGCACCCUUUACGCCCAAUGAAUCCGAACAACGCUCGAGACCUCUGUAUUACCGCGGCUGCUGGCAC